AUUGAACGCUGGCGGCAUGCUUUACACAUGCAAGUCGAACGGUAACAGGUUAAGCUGACGAGUGGCGAACGGGUGAGUAAUGCAUCGGAACGUGCCCGAUCGUGGGGGAUAACGUAGCGAAAGCUGCGCUAAUACCGCAUACGAUCUGAGGAUGAAAGCGGGGGACCGUAAGGCCUCGCGCGAUCGGAGCGGCCGAUGUCAGAUUAGGUAGUUGGUGGGGUAAAGGCCCACCAAGCCGACGAUCUGUAGCUGGUCUGAGAGGACGACCAGUCACACUGGGACUGAGACACGGCCCAGACUCCUACGGGAGGCAGCAGUGGGGAAUUUUGGACAAUGGGCGAAAGCCUGAUCCAGCAAUGCCGCGUGCAGGAAGAAGGCCUUCGGGUUGUAAACUGCUUUUGUACGGAGCGAAAAGGUCCUUUCUAAUACAAGGGGCUCAUGACGGUACCGUAAGAAUAAGCACCGGCUAACUACGUGCCAGCCGCCGCCGUAAUAC
rnacentral:rRNA from 1 species